rnacentral:sRNA from 1 species
UUUGCUAUAAUCAUAUAUGAACAAGACUAGGAUGACUUGGCGAGACAUAUCUAUUAUGUAGUGUACUUACAGCACAUUCAGAUUGGCAUGUUUAUAGCGGAAAAAGAUGGCCUCUUCUAUAUUCUCAGCACAGGACAUCAUCAACUGCAGCCUUUGUGAAAAUUCUACCACUCAAUACUGUAAUGACUGUCAAGUUAAUCUUUGUGUCGACUGCGUAAGUGUUCACAUCGCAAUGUUCCAGUCAGCUUCACAUUAUAUUGUUUCUUUCAAGAACAGAGAGGUACAUUUAGUGUAUCCUUUCUGCUUAAUUCAUCUCAGCCACAGAUGCGAGGCAGUGUGUCAACAAUGUCAAACUCAAGUCUGCAUCAAGUGUUGUAUCGACACUCAUAAAAACCACAAUGUUAAAGUAAUUAGUAAAAUUGUUGAAGAAGUAAAAUUCAGAAUUCAAAACGAAACGGAAGAAAUUCAAAAUAAACUCAUUCCAAAUAGUCAGAAGGAAGUUCUUGAUAUCGAGAACAGGAUAAUCAUAUUGACAACUGAAUAUGCAAAGCUAGAACAGGAGAGAAAACGCUUAAGAAAUCUUUGGCUUAAGGAAGUAGAGGACAUCUUUGAUAAAGUUGACUCUUACAUCAUCAAAAUGAAGGAGGAAAGCUUAUCUACUUUAACAGCUCACAAGAAAAAAAUAGAAGAAAUUAUUCCAGACAUGAUAAAAACAGUUGAAGAAAACAAAGAAAUUCUUAAAUCUAACGAAGCAACAAAUACACUUAAUUACAUCUCGAAAAAUGAGGAAUAUGAACAUGCAUAUGUCCCUUUUAAUGCUGAUAUGGAAUAUCCUUCUCUGGUAGCAGACGUUCUUGAAGGGAAUGAACUCAAUAUUAAAAUAGGUCAUCUGAGGGCAACAAUGUCUCAAACAUCAGAACCUGCAGUAAUAGAUGAUGAAUUAUCAACAAAAUUGCAACAGACCUUGAAAAAGUCAAAACUGAUCGUUUCAAUAUCUACUCGGUGUAAACCGUUACAUAGAGUUGCGUGUGUAGAAGAAAAUGAAGCUUGGGUCAGUGGUAAUAACAAAGCGAUAACUCGUCUAGAUGUACACAAAACUGUCAAAGAAACAGUUAUCACAACUUGUCUGCGAUUUACUAACGAUAUAUCAGUAACAACCCAGGGGCAUCUCAUAUAUAGUGAUUACAGAAAUAGGACGGUAAACAUAGUAAGAGAAGGAAAGACAGAGUCAUUAUUAACCACACCUUCAGGUUGGCAUCCAUGCAAUUUAUACGCCACCAAAGCAGGUGAUGUCCUUGUUAAUAUGUCUCGAGGUUUAAAGAAUAAAAUUCAUCGUUACCAAGGAGAGGAAAUUUCUCAGGAAAUUGAAAACACUGAUGACGGAAAGCCUGUUUUUGCAGAAGGAAGUUAUUCUUUAUAUUUGACAGAAAACUCAUACGGAGAUGUAUGCGUCUCAGACUUAAAUGCUCGAAGCGUGAUCUCUGUGGACAGAUCAGGACGUGUUCGAUUUCGUUACGAAGGCGGAACGAGAAAGAGAUCGUUUGAUCCUCAGUGCAUAGUAACAGACUCGCUGAAUCAAAUCAUUGUGACAGAUUACAGCAACGACUGUUUGCACAUGUUAGAUCAGACCGGACAGUUUAUGAGAGUAUUCAACAAUCAUGGUUUGGUCGCACCUUGCGGAUUGAGUAUAGAUAGUGCAGGAAGGUUGUGGGUUGGGUUACUGCACACAGGAAAAAUAAAGGUGAUACAGUAUUUGAAAAAACUAGGCAACUGAAAAGUAAGAAAAGGUAAAACAGGAACCUACAAUGUACCAGAGAGCUGUAUGCAAAUGCACUGUAAAUAUCCCCGUUUUUCGUAAACGUCUGAUUGCAGUGUUUUGCUAUAAUUGUAAUAAAUGUCUCUUUUACACUU